rnacentral:rRNA from 1 species
GACGAACGCUGGCGGCGCGCCUAACACAUGCAAGUCGAACGGAGCUGAGAGAAGCUUGCUUUUCUUAGCUUAGUGGCGAACGGGUGAGUAACGCGUGAGUAACCUGCCCUGGAGUGGGGGACAACAGUUGGAAACGACUGCUAAUACCGCAUAAGCCCACGAUCCGGCGUCGGAUUGAGGGAAAAGGAUUUAUUCGCUUCAGGAUGGACUCGCGUCCAAUUAGCUGGUUGGUGAGGUAACGGCCCACCAAGGCGACGAUUGGUAGCCGGACUGAGAGGUUGAACGGCCACAUUGGGACUGAGACACGGCCCAGACUCCUACGGGAGGCAGCAGUGGGGGAUAUUGCACAAUGGGGGAAACCCUGAUGCAGCGACGCCGCGUGGAGGAAGAAGGUUUUCGGAUUGUAAACUCCUGUCGUUAGGGACGAUAAUGACGGUACCUAACAAGAAAGCACCGGCUAACUACGUG